GCUGGCGUUAUCACAGUGAUCCAGCUGACGUUAUCACAGUGAUCCAGCUGGCGUUAUCACAGUGAUCCAGCUGGCGUUAUCACAGGGAUCCAGCUGGCGUUAUCACAGUGAUCCAGCUGGCGUUAUCACAGUGAUCCAGCUGGCGUUAUCACAGUGAUCCAGCUGGCGUUAUCACAGUGAUCCAGCUGGCGUUAUCACAGUGAUCCAGCUGGUAUUAUCACAGUGAUCCAGCUGGUGUUAUCACAGUGAUCCACUGUGAGACACUGUGUGUGUGAUUCUGUGUGUGUGUGAGACGCAGUGUUAUUUACCAUCUCCCUCUCCCCAGAGGUAUUUACCAUCUCCCUCUCCCCAGAGGUAUUUACCAUCUCCCUCUCCACAGAGGUAUUUACCAUCUCCCUCUCCCCAGAGGUAUUUACCAUCUCCCUCUCCCCAGAGGUAUUUACCAUCUCCCUCUCCCCAGAGGUAUUUACCAUC
rnacentral:lncRNA from 1 species